rnacentral:rRNA from 1 species
UACAGAGGGUGCGAGCGUUGUUCGGAAUUAUUGGGCGUAAAGGGCUCGUAGGCGGUUUGUCGCGUCGGGAGUGAAAACCCAGGGCUUAACUCUGGGCUUGCUUUCGAUACGGGCAGACUAGAGGCAUGCAGGGGAGAACGGAAUUCCUGGUGUAGCGGUGAAAUGCGCAGAUAUCAGGAGGAACACCGGUGGCGAAGGCGGUUCUCUGGGCAAUGUCCUGACGCUGAGGAGCGAAAGUGUGGGGAGCGAACAGGA